AGAGCAUAAACCCAACUCUGACGACGAAGUCCGGCAAAAUGCCGUCGAGUUCAAAGUUGGUGGGUGUUCUAGUACAUCAAAUCUCUUCCCUUUUGUCUAUGUGAUAAUUGGGAUGAGGUUUUGAACUACUUAUUUGAGUCAUAACUUUUGCAUGCACCUCAAUCUCUAUUUUCCAGUUCCUGGCAAGUGUGAAUGAAUGAACUUCGGCGAGUUCGUGAUUGUUGGUGCACGAACCCUUUUGGAAUCAAACUCAGAAUCCGGCAAUGGACUUCAACCAACUUCCUUCGAAUUCGAGACAGAUUCAAGCUCCAGUGGUCCAAAUUUGGGUUUGGGCUUCCGACGACCGAUGAUGGUGACCAGUGACGAUCAUCGUUAACUUUGACGGGCGUAACGAGAGUAAAGAGAACACCGGUGGUGACGAGUAGGCUUGGCAGUUAAGCUUUCAUCCUCUGGGCUUUGGGUGAUGGUUCAUUUACUGCAGUUUUAUCUAUAUUGUAAUAAUGGCAUAAUUGUACUUUUGAUUAUGCAUAGCACACUUUGUUGUGAAACUUCUAGCUACUAUGAUGUGAUGUGAUGUGAUAAUAACAGGAUAAAAUCCAAGAGAAUUUGUGUCCCCAAGUGGGGAGGAUGAUAGGUGAUUUCUUGUAACAGCUUUGGAAUUUAUUAUUAAUGAACAUCUUUAG